CUAGGGCGACCCUGAGGGGUGAGGCCGUGGCUAGCUAGCAGUGGGCUAAGUGGAACGGAAUCAUAUCAAAUGUGAACCGGCAUUAAGAGCCUUUGCAACGGAGUUGUCAAUUAGGAAACACACAGACAAGUUGGGUAAGUAGAAGAAAAACUGAAAGCGUAAACUCACCAGGGUCAAAGAUGAGGGGCCUAAAUGCCUCCAUUGUUCAGCUGGAGACGUUGCUGGCAGGCUGGAGCAGACAGCCCGCCCAGGCUGGGCAAGUGGGCGAGGGACAGCAGAAACACUGAACUAAGGGUUUUCCAUUAUUAAUCACUCAGUCAAUCACGAGCUCCGGCAUCGCUGACCAGAUGUCUUUAAAGAUCCUAAAUUUGUCAUUCUGCUGAUGGGCCCUCCUCUCCAGACUUGCUAAUUCACUCAAACUAUUAUCCUCAUUUGUCCACAGACGGCUUCCUACAGCCAGUAGCACGCUCGCCCCUGGGAAUGUAGGCUUUGGAUUAAAUUUAGAGUUGCAUAACUACCCACAACUGUUCUGGAAAGAAGCUGGAUGUGUCAUGCGCCCUUCCUCACAGACUUCACCCACUAAAGCACCAACGGUGAAAUUAACUUGUAUUUUCACAAGAAAGGGGUUUUCAAAGCUCAAGAUGCAUUUCAAACUCCAAGCUACAUGUCCAACACUGAGUCAAUGACCUCUCCGAAUCUGCAGACACCGGCGUCGGGGCACCCACCCCCUUAGCCUUCCUGCGGGUCUAGGGAGCUCUGAGCACAACCAAGGGGUGGGAGGGCGCCCUCACCAGCAGCAAGGCAGCAACUGGGAGGUGGUACAACUACACUCCAGGAAACCUAACGCUUUCUAGUAUUACUGGCGCUCUCCCGGAUGCCUGUGCCACGUGCAACCCUGUCCAUUUCCGUUUCCGAGACGGCACCUACCUACCGCCCGCCCUUCUCAACCUCGGAUGGAUUUGGGGGCACCUUCGUUCAAGCUGCCCCGGACAGCACACUUGCCGCCCCAGUCCCCACCCCGGUUCCCUCCUCUUCACACACCGCGGGCUACUUCCCACACCGGCAAGUGCGACGGGUAGCCCGGAGCGAGCGAGCGGGAAACCGACAGACACCGGUGGGCGCCCAGGCAGCAGGACGCAUGCUCACAAAGCCCGCCCCGCCCCCCUGCGCUGGAGACCGCCGUCUGGCCCCGCCCACAGGCCCAUGCCCCGCCCACCGGCCUCCAGCCUUCUGCGGGUUCUGGAGAAAGAGCAAGAAGAGCCAAGGGCAGAGCUUAGUUCUUUCCUCCUUAGUUCCUUCCUGAGCCUGUAGCUGUUCCGGGCCAGGGUCAGCUGCUCCAGCCCAGAUCGGCUUCCCAGGUCCCCGGAACCGAACACAAGGAUCUUCCAUCCAAGUCCAGCUGCCCUGGUUACCCCGCUGCGGUCCCAUUCUCAGCCAUGGCUUGUCUGCCACUGUCACUGAACUCGGGUUCCCAGAGGACAGGAAUGGGGUCUUGUUCAUCUCUCCAUCUCCAGCACUCAGCAAGGUGCCUGCCAUAUAGACUGUGCUAGGUAAAUACAUCAGAAUGAACAAACUACUUUCCAAUGGACACUAUUUACACCAAAGAGACCUGUAAUUUCUUGUCUGUAGUAUAAGCAUGCCUUCAGAUGUAAUAACUUUGAAAGGGCAUAAAAUAUACAUUAAAUAAUUUGAAGUAUGCUA